ACCGGAUAUGACUCCUCAUCGCAUGGUGGGGGGUGGAAAGCUUUUGUGGUUUUGGAUGGACUCGCGGCCUAUCAGCUUGUUGGUGGGGUAAUGGCCUACCAAGGCGACGACGGGUAGCCGGCCUGAGAGGGUGACCGGCCACACUGGGACUGAGACACGGCCCAGACUCCUACGGGAGGCAGCAGUGGGGAAUAUUGCACAAUGGGCGCAAGCCUGAUGCAGCGACGCCGCGUGAGGGAUGACGGCCUUCGGGUUGUAAACCUCUUUCAGUAGGGAAGAAUUUUAAUUGACGGUACCUGCAGAAGAAGCGCCGGCUAACUACGUGCCAGCAGCCGCGGUAAUACGUAGGGCGCAAGCGUUAUCCGGAAUUAUUGGGCGUAAAGAGCUCGUAGGCGGUUUGUCGCGUCUGCUGUGAAAGACCGGGGCUCAACUCCGGUUCUGCAGUGGGUACGGGCAGACUAGAGUGCAGUAGGGGGAGACUGGAAUUCCUGGUGUAGCGGUGAAAUGCGCAGAUAUCAGG
rnacentral:rRNA from 1 species